rnacentral:rRNA from 1 species
UACGUAGGUGGCAAGCGUUAUCCGGAAUUACUGGGCGUAAAGCGCACGCAGGCGGUCUUGUAAGUUUGACGUGAAAGCUCCCGGCUUAACUGGGAGAGGUCGUUGAAGACUGCAAGACUUGAGGAAAUGAGAGGGGUGUAGAAUUCCUGGUGUAGUGGUGGAAUUCGUAGAUAUUAGGAAGAACACCAGUGGCGAAGGCGGCUCACUGGUCCGGUACUGACGCUGAGGUGCGAAAGCGUGGGGAGCAAACAGG